UACGUAGGGGGACAGCGUUGUCCGGAAUUAUUGGGCGUAAAGAGCGUGUAGGCGGCCAGAUAAGUCCGCUGUGAAAUCUCGAGGCUCAACUUCGAGCUGUCGGUGGAAACUAUCUGGCUAGAGUCCGGAAGAGGAGAAUGGAAUUCCCGGUGUAGCGGUGAAAUGCGCAGAUAUCGGGAGGAACACCGGUGGCGAAGGCGGUUCUCUGGGCCUGACCUGACGCUGAGAAGCGAAAGCAUGGGGAGCGAACAGGGA
rnacentral:rRNA from 1 species